GGUAUUUGGACAAUGUAAAACUAUUGUUGUAUAUAAACAGACACUUGAAGAAAGAAAUACUGCAUGGCUAUAACUGCACAGUGAGUCCAGAUUAUUCACAGUUAUACAAGUAUGAACACUGCCCUGGAAGACCAACAGCCUCAGAAGACACUGAGCAGCACAGAGGGGAUGCUGAGAGAGCCCUGGAGAGGUACAAUGAAGAUAGUAACCACCCACAGUAUUUCAAGGUGGAUAAAGUACAAAGUGCUACAAUGCAGUGUGACAAACCACCUUUCCACCAUCACCCCCACUCCGGAGAACAUCAUCACCACCACCACUUCUCUGGGCAAGGACAUUCCCCUGUAGGGCCAUCACACAGACAUCAUCAUCACGGCUUUGGUCAUGGACAUCCUAAAAGACAUUACCAUAGAUGCCCACCACCUCCUGAAAAUAGGGUCGUCCACCCUGAAGGAUCUGAGCAUCAUCACAAUUUCUCUCCAGAGGAACACCAGCAUGGGCCUCCUCAUCUUCCUCCUCCACUCAGUCCUCAUUAUCCUCCCUCUCCUUAUGGUUGCAAACACGACCAUAGACAUAUGCAUCUACACCGUCAGGGAUCUAGCAAUUCUUCCCAGGAAAGAGGAGAUGAAGGCAGCUCCUCAGAAGAGCACAUUUCAUCCCAAACACCUCAUCCUUUCCGUAAAAGACAUCCAUCACAUUCCAGUUUUAAAUCAGCAUGAUGUGCUCCCUGCUCCUGCUGCAAACUUCCCUGACCAUCCGCCAGCUCCCCAUGAUCCAUUUUGCAAAUGGAUAAGUGAGAAGCCAGCAAUUCAGCCUUUUCCACAAGUCCCUUCAGAAUCUAAAUCAUGCCCAGGAAAACCCAAGUAUGAUCUGCCAGACCUUUUGCCUUUAUUUCCACCUAGAUCUACACAGUGAAUGUUUUUCUUUUAAUUGAAAUGCUCAUCAUUCCAAGCCUUCAAUCAGUGUAAACUGAUUUCAGCGGUGCUAUACCAAUUUAUAAGUAGCCCCAAAGAUGUAACAUGGAGAAAGAAAAUAUCCUAACAAUGAAUAUUAAACUACAAUUUUUCAUAGUGAAGAUUAGAAUACAUGCUUCUAUAUACAUAUGUACGGUAUACUGCGUAUG